CUUGCUAGUCCAUUCGCACACUGGUGGAUGCUUGGACUCCAACCUUUUCUUACUUAUUUUUCUUUGUUUGUUUUCAGAGACAGGCUCUCUCUGUGUAGCCCUGGCUGUCCUGGAACUGGCUCUGUAGACCAGGUUAGCUUUGAACUCAGAGAUCUGCUAGCUUCUGCCUCCUGAGUGCUGGGUAAGGGACUUGCCACUAAGCCAGAUGACCCUCAUUCAAACUCCAGGGCCCACACAUGAAAGGGGAGAAGCACUUCUCACAAAUUGUCUUCUGACUUCCACACGUAUGCUAUAAUGCACAAUUAUGUACACAUACACACAUGCACACACAAAAUGAAUGAGUGACUGUAUGAAUAUAUAAAUGUAAUGCAGAUUUUAAAAUGCUCCCUGGUUCCGUGUGUGAUCGGCAUUGAGGAACACUGGGCAAGGAGGCCGAGGAAGAAAAUGGAAGAAGUGUGGACACUGGAUCAGGUUCUUUUUUUUUUUUAAGAUUUAUUCAUUUAUUAUAUAUAAGUACACUGCAGCUGUCUUCAGAUACACCAGAAGAGGGCAUCGGAUCUCUUUACAGAUGGUUGUGAGCCACCAUGUGGUUGCUGGGAAUUGAACUCAGGACCUCUGGAAGAGUAGUCGGGUGCUCUUAACCGCUGAGCCAUCUCUCCAGCCCUGGAUCAGGUUCUUUGUGGACCCCUCCCAUUUCCCCUCCAAGGGUGACAGUUUGGCCACUGAAAGUCCUGGAUCAGUGAGCCAAAACCUUUGAGAUGCUGUCCUCUUCUUCCGGGGAUUCUGAUGUGUGUGUGUCCUGUAGGAUCCUGGGUGGACCUAGUGAGCAUGGUCAGCCCUCGGGAGGAAAACAAGUUGCUGAGAGUCUCAGGCUGCUGGAUUUCCACUGCCUCCCUAUAGGGUGAGGGAAGAGAGGUGAAAGGGCAAAGGUGAGCCCCUUCAGAAGGUGGGGAGAGUACUGGGGUCCCCACAGGGCCUGGUCAGGGAAGCUAUGCUCCAUGCCUGUCUUAUUACUCCUGCCUGUGGCUACAGCACAUUUGGUGGCAAUUCUACCCCAAGAUUCACCUGUCGGGUCCCCAGGCUCCCUGGGAGCCAGCUAGCCACGGGUCUAGACAUGGAGAACUUCCAGAUGGGAUGCUAAGGCAUCCAGCCUGCCAGCUGCUAGCAUGGGGACAUGAGAUAAAAGGGCUCUGACAGCCUGUCCUGGGGACCUCCCUCUGAGCCAGCUUUGAGUUUAGCACUGUAGGCUCCAUGUGGGACUAACAGUCUAUGGCCUGCAAGGAAACUCCCGCAGUACACAGAGGAUGGCUGGUGGGCACACGGCAGGAGGAGGCCUGCCCUUGGGCUACAGAGUUGCUGAACUCAGUGACUGCCUUGCUCUCUGUGUGACUUUGAGCAAUCAUUUCUCUCUGGGCUUUGAUAUCUCCAGCUGUAUUAAUAAAGAGUUUGGCCUAGAUUGCUGACUCUGAAACUCAGCUGCAAAUUGAAAUUAUCGGGGGGUGGGGAGCAGGGAAGGCUUUUAAAACUCCCGUUGUCCGUACUUGGAGAAAUGAUGAUUUAACUGGUGUAAAUUGUAGACAGAGUAUCGGGGCUUCAGAAGAUCUUUAAGGGAUUCUGACUUAUGACUGCGUUAGAGACCUGUUGUUCCAGACAACAGCUUCCUAGCAUGGUCACACAGCAGACCUUGAGAAUUUAGAAUACUGCACUAUGAGUAUCAGGCACAGGGAGAGAACUCCAGCUACCCACCUGUCUACCCAAGGACUGGGGAGCUCAGGGUCUUGGACGGGCAAAACAGCUGUGGGGGCCUUUCACCUGGAGGCUUUGCUUGGUUUGAAUUCCUUGUGAGCAUCUCCUGAGUGGCAAAGCCUUUCUGGCUGUUUAUCUACAGCUGCGCGGCAUUCUGCGGCUGUGUUUACUCAGACUCCCGCUGCCUCACCUUGAUGUUGAAGUUGCUUCCUGCUCCGUGCUGUGGUUUCCCACCGUCCACCAGAGCCUUCGAGAAAGUCUGCAAUACAGAUGUGGGUGGAAAAGCAGAUCGCUGCGGGGUAGAGGGCUUCUGAGAGGAAAGGCUUGGCAGAACCCCCGGCUUCGUCCUUGAAGAUGCGGGAGGGCUCUCUACCGUGCGUACAGCGCGUAGGUGGUCAAGUCGUUCCAGUUCCGAAGACAGACCCGGAACCUGAGAUGUCCGGGUUAUUCAAAUAAUGGUAACAUAUUGUACACACUUGGAUGUUCGGAUCAAUGUGUUAGCACGGACAGAAUCCCAAGGUCGCAGAAUGUCGCAGCAGGGAGGGAUUUUAUAAUCUGUUAACCUACUUAACCAAUCACACGCCUUUGUGGGUUCCUCUUUAAAUUUUUUUCUUUUAUUAUAUUUUAACUU